rnacentral:lncRNA from 10 species
UUUACGAUGCCCCCAAAGAGCUGGCGAAGAUCUCAGGAUUGGCUUUGGAGGGUCUUGGCAGUGCUACUAUAUUCUUAUUAUGAAUAAAAAUUUUAAACCCAAGCUGAUAAACAUAUUUUUUUUCACACUGAAUUCAUCAGGAAUACAUUAACAUUUUCUAAAAGGUAAAGACAGCAAAAAUGAAAGAAUUGAAAGGAGAACAUUAGGAUGUAUUUGGCCACUAGGACUCUGUUUCCAUCAGCUCCUGCAUAUGAGCCAGAACUUCACCCCAUAUAACUAAUGCGCAGGGAAUUAGCCUAUGGAAUAAUGAUCAUUCCUGAUGAAAAGAAUAAGAUCUUGUUCCCGUGUAUGUGCAGAGCCAUUCAUCCUAAGAAAGAAAUCUGGAGUGAAAGCGCACAGCAUAUUUUGCAUAGGUUCUGUAAAAGGAUCCAGGCAAAACAGGCUUUGCAACAUUAGUUAUGAUCAUAUAUGGAAAAAGCAGUUACUUUCUGGGGUGACAUAUGGCUGAAUUGGUACAAUGCCCAGGAAUCUCAAUGUCCCCCUUAGAAGGGUGAGCCCUGGCUUCAUCCUUCACCCACAUCAUCAGUGGGACAAACUGCACAGCUCGUGGACAGAUCACCGGUAAAGAAAAUCACAUCCACCUGUGCUGAGACCAAGGCUGCUGUUGGGCUCUGGCAGUUGGCAAGCGCUAAGGUCCCCUUCUGUGAUCAUAACUUUUUCUAAAGCAGGAAAAUUAUGAAUGGAGCCCAAGCCCGUCUGCUUAAGAUUCAAGCAUGGUGACAUUCCAUAGUAAACAACAACAGCGACAAUGCUGACAAAAACAACACGUUUAUUGUGAGGGUGAUUCCACCCUUAAAUGUGGAAAAUUUAACCUUGCUCUGAUACUAUUCUGUAACCAGUAUACCUAUGUCCAACAUUCCUAACAUAGCCAAACCAAUCAAUUGAGCCUUAUUGUGGAAGAGACAGGAAAUGUGAUCACUUGAAUGUGUGAUAUUCAUUCAUCCACUCAUUCAUUUUGCUGACCAUUAAUUAAUUCAAUUAACCCUCCUGAGUACAGCUCUGUGCUAAGCAUUAGGGACUCAAGAUGAUUCUUAUCUUCAAGGCAUCCAGCCUGGGGAGAAAAACAGACGUACAACUAAGCUGCAGACGGACACAUCCUUUAGUGAUGGGGACACCUGGAAGGGAUUGAGAAACUCCUUGCAGUUGGCCUUGGGAAGCUGGGGAGGACUUGAAACUUCUAAGUGGCCCUGGGAGCAACCGGAGGUGGGGUGGGCCAGUGCCUGUAGGCCUGGGCCUGCCUGGCUGAGGAUCCCAGCUGGACUACUGCCUUGCUGUCUACAAAUGAUGGAGCCCUUCCAGUCUCAGCUUCCUCACAAGUAAAAUGCAGACGGCAAUGCCUCUUUCCAGUGACGUUGUGAGGAUUCGAUGGGAAGUUUCAUGAAAGCACUUAGCAGGGUUUUUGUUGAGUGCUCAGAAGGUGAUAGUUUGGUGUUGCUAGGGGAACAGAAGCCUGGGCUGAGAACAGGCCGUGGAGAGUCACAAAUGGUCUUCAGCCGUCGGAAGGCACUGUUAGAUUUACUCUUCACAAAGAACAUUUUGGGACAUCUUGGUGUACGGAUUAGAAGGAAGGACAGAAGCUAAUCCAGAGACGGAUUGCUGAGAUGAUUCCUGCUUUCCGGCUCCCCGACACCCGCUGUUCUUUAGAUCCGCUCAGCGGCGCUUUUUCCUGUGCCACGUGCCCAGAUCUGAGCGAGGCUUGGGAAGACGCGAACGGGCUGUAAAAUCUGUCCCCAGAACUGGAGAGUAAGAAUGAGCGGUGUGGGGCUGAGCUGAGUCCAGGGAGUGCGAGAAUUUAGCAGUCGUGCUGUGCCUGGGCAUUUCAGACUGUGCCACAGCCGGGCCUGCCUGUUCCGCAAUGUGGCUGAGGAAGGGAGCCAAAAACGCUGCUGCAGGGCUGGCUGUGGGCAGUGGCAGGAAGCAAACAGAGGCUCUCUGGCGACUUCUCUCCCCUGGAGGCCCUCCUCCCUCUACUUCUAGCCCCACUGCUGUGGGACAGUUGCAUCCUGGGGCUUUCUGUGGCUCUCCCAUCAGUGCCCUGGGGCUGGCAUAUGCGACACCUCCUCUGCCUAGGGCAUUCAGGCAUUCUUCAGUACUUGGUGAGCACCUCCUAGUGCCAAGCUCUGUCCUGGUCACAGGAGAGCACUCCUAUCCAUGUGUUGUCCCUGUCCUCACUGCGCUUUGGGCCGGAGAGGAGCUCACUGUCUGAUCCUUUUCCCCGACUGUGGCUUAAGGGGUUUCGUCUCUUGCUAGAGCCCUUCUAGGCAGGCAGCAGGUCCUGGUUUGUGAGCAAGGGGCUCCUCCUCCAUUUUGGAGCCUCGGCUGCCCUGCCUCCCCGGUAAUCUGGUAUUCUGGUAGUGCCUCUCUGGGCCCUGGUUUAAAAGGCCGAGAGAAGCUGUAUUCUGGAGAUCAGCUCCAGGUUCUCCCGCAGAGAGCAAGCUCCAGGCACAGGCAAAGGGUGUGGCUUCAGAGAAGAGCGAGGAUCUUGCCAUCUCUUUUACAGGUUGGUGCAGACUUUUUAGCAGCGUUAAACCCCUGAUUGCUGUCAUCAGUGGUGUGAUUUUACCAGAUGCUCCCUCAGUACUUUACAAUCAACCUGCACUGAGCACUUUGUGCGGGGGCAGGACCUGGUCUGGGGACUGUCAAGUGCUUUAUCUUAUCUAAGCCUUACCUCUAGAUCCGUGGAAGGCAGAGAGAAUUUGGGAACCUCUGUGCUAUAAGCAUGGAAAAUUGGGACUCAGGUAAAAAGGCUGGUUCCUGGUCGCACAGCUGGUCAUGGGUGAGUGUGGUUUUUGAACUCUGAUAUUUGGAUUCUGAGUACAGAACAUGUUAUAUUGUGGCCCAUGCCCUCCUCCUGAGUUCUUCAGUUUUAAUCAUUUCAUUUUCUACUCUUUUUAGGCACUUUGGCAAAGGAGUGUGAGUUUUGGGGAAGCUCAAGGAAGAGGUACCAGGUAGAGAGAGGGCCAGGGCUGAGUUCACGGGCUCUUUCUAAAUGGAAAUGUCUCACAUUCAGCUGUUGUCUGCCUUUGAGUCACACAGAACCACUUGCAGGAAGAACUCUAGAGAAUUUGGGAAGAAAGGGGGAGAGGACAGACAAAAGAUGCAUUUUUCUUUCAAGAAGCAGGAAAAUGUAAGGAAAAUUGAAGGUGUUCUCAAGUGUGUCUGCUGCUGCCUGACACAGGUUAACCCCGUCGCAGGUCACUCCGCUCUGUUAAUUGCAUCCUAACCUUCCUCGGCUCUUCGGCAGCGAAAUCGCAGCAGAGGAGAUGGAGCAGCUUCGUGCGCAUUGCUCAUUUGCGCCAACGUGAAAAGAACUGCCAGGAUGCCCAGGACACCAGCUCCCUGGCUUCUGCGGUGCUUGCACAGUCCUGAAUCAGCCCGAGAGCUGUGGAUCUGCGUCCCCUGGCUGCAUAGCCGACUGCCGGCUCCAUGGAGGGGCCUGUGCCGGAGAACGCACAUGUUGACUUAUUUCUUCAGUCUAGGCCUUUCUUGGCCCCCUUGGUUAUUCAUUCUAGAUGAUACAACUCUUAUUUCAGUUCAAAUGUCUCACGGAAGAGGCAUUGAAGACAGAGUGGAUGCCCGUGUUUGUUGGCAGUAGGUAGUAUUUACCACUCCGGUUGUAGUAAAAGAACAAAAGGAGAAAUUACACCUAUUUCUCAUAUUUAAGGGAAAAGCAAUUAAAUCACCAAAGUCA